rnacentral:rRNA from 1 species
GACGAACGCUGGCGGCGUGCUUAACACAUGCAAGUCGAACGGUGAAGCUCCAGCUUGCUGGAGUGGAUCAGUGGCGAACGGGUGAGUAACACGUGAGCAACCUGCCCCUGACUCUGGAAUAAGCGCUGGAAACGGCGUCUAAUACUGGAUACGAGAAGGGUCCGCAUGGGCACUUUCUGGAAAGUUUUUCGGUUGGGGAUGGGCUCGCGGCCUAUCAGCUUGUUGGUGAGGUAAUGGCUCACCAAGGCGACGACGGGUAGCCGGCCUGAGAGGGCGACCGGCCACACUGGGACUGAGACACGGCCCAGACUCCUACGGGAGGCAGCAGUGGGGAAUAUUGCACAAUGGGCGAAAGCCUGAUGCAGCGACGCCGCGUGAGGGAUGACGGCCUUCGGGUUGUAAACCUCUUUCAGCAGGGAAGAAGCGAAAGAGACGGUACCUGCAGAAGAAGCACCGGCUAACUACGUG